rnacentral:rRNA from 1 species
GUUGGGUAGGGGAGCGUUCUGUAAGCCUGUGAAGGUGGCCUGUGAGGGUUGCUGGAGGUAUCAGAAGUGCGAAUGCUGACAUAAGUAACGAUAAAGCGGGUGAAAAGCCCGCUCGCCGGAAGACCAAGGGUUCCUGUCCAACGUUAAUCGGGGCAGGGUGAGUCGACCCCUAAGGCGAGGCCGAAAGGCGUAGUCGAUGGGAAACGGGUUAAUAUUCCCGUACUUGGUGUUACUGCGAAGGGGGGACGGAGAAGGCUAUGUUGGCCGGGCGACGGUUGUCCCGGUUUAAGCGUGUAGGCUGGUUUUCCAGGCAAAUCCGGUUCACUUUAAAACUGAGGCGUGACGACGAGGCACUACGGUGCUGAAGCAACAAAUGCCCUGCUUCCAGGAAAAGCCUCUAAGCAUCAGGUAACACGAAAUCGUACCCCAAACCGACACAGGUGGUCAGGUAGAGAAUACCAAGGCGCUUGAGAGAACUCGGGUGAAGGAACUAGGCAAAAUGGUGCCGUAACUUCGGGAGAAGGCACGCUGACACGUAGGUGAAGUGAUUUACUCACGGAGCUGAAGUCAGUCGAAGAUACCAGCUGGCUGCAACUGUUUAUUAAAAACACAGCACUGUGCAAACACGAAAGUGGACGUAUACGGUGUGACGCCUGCCCGGUGCCGGAAGGUUAAUUGAUGGGGUCAGCGCAAGCGAAGCUCCUGAUCGAAGCCCCGGUAAACGGCGGCCGUAACUAUAACGGUCCUAAGGUAGCGAAAUUCCUUGUCGGGUAAGUUCCGACCUGCACGAAUGGCGUAAUGAUGGCCAGGCUGUCUCCACCCGAGACUCAGUGAAAUUGAACUCGCUGUGAAGAUGCAGUGUACCCGCGGCAAGACGGAAAGACCCCGUGAACCUUUACUAUAGCUUGACACUGAACAUUGAGCCUUGAUGUGUAGGAUAGGUGGGAGGCUUUGAAGUGUGGACGCCAGUCUGCAUGGAGCCGACCUUGAAAUACCACCCUUUAAUGUUUGAUGUUCUAACGUGGACCCGUAAUCCGGGUUGCGGACAGUGUCUGGUGGGUAGUUUGACUGGGGCGGUCUCCUCCUAAAGAGUAACGGAGGAGCACGAAGGUUGGCUAAUCCUGGUCGGACAUCAGGAGGUUAGUGCAAUGGCAUAAGCCAGCUUGACUGCGAGCGUGACGGCGCGAGCAGGUGCGAAAGCAGGUCAUAGUGAUCCGGUGGUUCUGAAUGGAAGGGCCAUCGCUCAACGGAUAAAAGGUACUCCGGGGAUAACAGGCUGAUACCGCCCAAGAGUUCAUAUCGACGGCGGUGUUUGGCACCUCGAUGUCGGCUCAUCACAUCCUGGGGCUGAAGUAGGUCCCAAGGGUAUGGCUGUUCGCCAUUUAAAGUGGUACGCGAGCUGGGUUUAGAACGUCGUGAGACAGUUCGGUCCCUAUCUGCCGUGGGCGCUGGAGAACUGAGGGGGGCUGCUCCUAGUACGAGAGGACCGGAGUGGACGCAUCACUGGUGUUCGGGUUGUCAUGCCAAUGGCACUGCCCGGUAGCUAAAUGCGGAAAAGAUAAGUGCUGAAAGCAUCUAAGCACGAAACUUGCCCCGAGAUGAGUUCUCCCUGAGACUUAGAGUCUCCUGAAGGAACGUUGAAGACGACGACGUUGAUAGGCCGGGUGUGUAAGCGCAGCGAUGCGUUGAGCUAACCGGUACUAAUGAACCGUGAGGCUUAACCUUACAACGCCGAAG